rnacentral:tRNA from 1 species
CGCGGGAUGGAGCAGUCUGGUAGCUCGUCGGGCUCAACUCUUUAUAACAAGCUGGCGAAGGUCGUCGCUAAGGUUUUGUAAACAGUAAUCUGGCUCCCGCAACCA